rnacentral:lncRNA from 1 species
CUGGACUGAUGUGUUCGAAAUUUGGAAAAAAGUCAGUAGAUAAAAGUUGUAGUCCCGAAAGUCAGCUUUGCAUGGGCUCAAGAAAUCGGUUAAAAAUAUUUUGAAAUGAGAGAGUUAUGACAUUUCAAAUCAGUCCAGUAAAUUCGGAGCAGUCCCCUUGUAUUAAAUUUCUGGACUGAUGUGUUCGGAAUCUGGAAAAAGGUAUACAGAUAAAAGUCGUGUGGGCUCAAGAAUUGCUCAAAAAUAUUUUGAAACGAAAAAGUUCUGACUGUUUUAACCAGAGAAGGUAAAGUUGGAAAAAUUUAAAAACUGUUACAAGUGGACAUUUUUGGGGCUUGUUUUAGGGUGCCUAUGAGGUCCAAAAUUGGAGGGUUAUAUUUUUUAAAAAUAGCAUACUAUGGUACCUAUAACAUAUCCUAAAAUGGAAUCAAUUCGAUUAACGAGCAGCGCGUACGAAAAUCGCGAAGUAGAUAGU